UUCCCAAAGCUACUCAAAUUGUACUUUAAAUAUAUAAUAUAUAUUUUAUUUUAUUUAACAGGGAUAAUUAUGUAAUUUUACCAUUAAAUUUGGAGAUUUGUAGAGGAUGAACAAGGGCAGAUGGGUAAUUUGGCUGUACUUUUUAGAUCUGUACAUUUAUUGUCUAUCUACUUUACUUCUUUCCUUGUUUACUUCUCCUCCACAUUUGCUUCUACAUUGAUUUCUCCUCCACAAUUCCUCUCCAUUAAUCUCCUUUUUUCCUCAAAUUUCGCUUCAAUGUUGCUGUCCAGAUAAUACAAAUUAGAGGUUUUAUCGCAUAGUGGUCAGAAAUUACAGAGAAGAAGAGCUGUAGAAUACAACUGAGGCAGCAACAUUUUACAACUACUGUGGUAAGAACAAAAUGUCUCUGGCAGCAACAUAAAAUCAUUUAUAUGACUGUAUAAUUAUCAAAGCUUUGUAAAAGAGCAUAUUAUGUCUUAGAAGAAUAACACAACAUGUAAUGACUUCCGGAAUAAAUACUUGACAUGUAAUGAACUGAACAAUUUUUUUAUACCUAUUUCUAAGCAAAUGUUGUUAUAAUGAUAUGAUAUUUUUCCCACAAAUAAAAUGUUGGGCAUCCUACGGCUCAGAAGUGUUUAUUUGUAAUCGAAAAACCAUUCUAUUAGCAGCAAUAUACAGAAAUAAUUCAUAUAUAAUCAUAUAAAAAAUAGAACAAUGCACAAUAUGGAAACCAAACUCUUAGCAGAUCAAACCAAAAAAAGGCAGAGGAGAAGCAACUCAUGUGAACUGUGAAGAUUCGAUAACCCCCAACCCAAUAGGAAAA